UACGUAGGGCGCAAGCGUUGUCCGGAAUUAUUGGGCGUAAAGAGCUCGUAGGCGGUCUGUCGCGUCUGUUGUGAAAACUUGGGGCUUAACCCUGAGCUUGCGGUCGAUACGGGCAUGACUGGAGUUCGGUAGGGGAGACUGGAAUUCCUGGUGUAGCGGUGAAAUGCGCAGAUAUCAGGAGGAACACCGGUGGCGAAGGCGGGUCUCUGGGCCGAUACUGACGCUGAGGAGCGAAAGCGUGGGGAGCGAACAGG
rnacentral:rRNA from 1 species